GAUGAACGCUGGCGGCGUGCCUAAUACAUGCAAGUCGAGCGAACAGACGAGGAGCUUGCUCCUCUGACGUUAGCGGCGGACGGGUGAGUAACACGUGGAUAACCUACCUAUAAGACUGGGAUAACUUCGGGAAACCGGAGCUAAUACCGGAUAAUAUAUUGAACCGCAUGGUUCAAUAGUGAAAGACGGUUUUGCUGUCACUUAUAGAUGGAUCCGCGCCGCAUUAGCUAGUUGGUAAGGUAGCGGCUUACCAAGGCAACGAUUCGUAGCCGACCUGAGAGGGUGAUCGGCCACACUGGAACUGAGACACGGUCCAGACUCCUACGGGAGGCAGCAGUAGGGAAUCUUCCGCAAUGGGCGAAAGCCUGACGGAGCAACGCCGCGUGAGUGAUGAAGGUCUUCGGAUCGUAAAACUCUGUUAUUAGGGAAGAACAAAUGUGUAAGUAACUAUGCACGUCUUGACGGUACCUAAUCAGAAAGCCACGGCUAACUACGUG
rnacentral:rRNA from 1 species